GGGGAAUAUUGGACAAUGGGCGAAAGCCUGAUCCAGCCAUGCCGCGUGUGUGAAGAAGGCCUUUUGGUUGUAAAGCACUUUAAGCGAGGAGGAGGAGCUUCAGGUUAAUACCCUGGAUGCUUGGACGUUACUCGCAGAAUAAGCACCGGCUAACUCUGUGCCAGCAGCCGCGGUAAUACAGAGGGUGCAAGCGUUAAUCGGAUUUACUGGGCGUAAAGCGUGCGUAGGCGGCUAAUUAAGUCAAAUGUGAAAUCCCCGAGCUUAACUUGGGAAUUGCAUUCGAUACUGGUUAGCUAGAGUAUGGGAGAGGAUGGUAGAAUUCCAGGUGUAGCGGUGAAAUGCGUAGAGAUCUGGAGGAAUACCGAUGGCGAAGGCAGCCAUCUGGCCUAAUACUGACGCUGAGGUACGAAAGCAUGGGGAGCAAAC
rnacentral:rRNA from 1 species